rnacentral:rRNA from 1 species
CCUGAUCAAGCGACGCCUCGUGGAGGAUGAACGCCCUCGGGUUGUAAACUCCUUUCUCUGAGACUUGUAGGACAGUCCCAGAAGAAUAAGCCUCGGCUAACUCCUUGCCAGCAGCCGCGGUAAUACGUAGGGGCGAAUCGUUCGGCGGAAUUACUGGGCCUAAAGGGUGUGUAGGCGGCUGGAUAAUUAUGGUGUGAAUGCUCCCGGCUCAGCUGGGAGGGUCAUCGCGAUACUGGCCUGGUGGAGGGCAGCAGAGGCGAGCGGAAUUCCUGGUGUAGUGGUGAAAUACAAUUCUCUCGGAAGGAACAACGGCGGCGAAAGCUGCUUUUCUGGGCUGUUGCUGAAGGUGGAUCUCCGAACCGUGGGGAAAAAACAGGAAUAAAAACCG